AUGGUUUUCGCCAAGGCCUCGCUGGCGUUGCUGGCCAUGGUUGGUGUGCCUCCUGUCUGUCGCACGGCGCCGCUACUCCGGCCACUGCGCCUUCAGGGAGGGGACUGCGCCGAGAGCUUCAAGGAGUUCAAGGCCAACAACAUCCGUGGCACCUUCCCUGUCCUGCUCCAGAUGGGCAAUGUCCUCGUGUUCGGCGGCCAUGUCCCCAUCGUCAAGGUGGGGCGGAUGGCUGGCCAGUUCGCCAAGCCGAGGUCUGGUAACUUUGAAAAGAAGGAUGGGGUUAAGCUGCCCAGUUACAGGAGAAAAAACGUCAAGGGCGACGCGUUUGAUCUGAAGGGCCGUGUCUGUCCCAGAUAG
rnacentral:rRNA from 1 species